ACGCUAACAAGUCGGCGGUACAGUGGGUUGCCAAACCGCGAGGUGGAGCUAAUCCUCAAAGCCGGUCUCAGUUCGGAUUGUAGGCUGCAACUCGCCUGCAUGAAGUCGGAGUUGCUAGUGACCGCGCGUCAGCUAUAGCGCGGUGAAUACGUUCCCGGGCCUU
rnacentral:rRNA from 1 species